CGCGGAAUCCUGCUUGUUUCGGUUCUUCCGCCCGCGACCAGUUAAGGGAGACGCGACACUAAUCCCCGCCCCUCGAGGGCUUACGAUCUGGCGGGGCGACGCCUUCCCGCUCGGAAGAACCCUAAUUGAUGGCCCGGUACGUCAAUCGUUUAUCACGACGGAGUUGAGUGACACGUCGCGGGACCAAUAAGCAACUAAGAGAAGGGAGGAACGGUUGAAGUUUAAACAAACUCAGGCUUCAGGGGACUCGCUCUAAACCUUAUAACCCGGUGAAAAAAAAUAUUAAAAAAUGAGGGUAGUGUUUCGUAGAGGGAGGAGAUAGUACUGUAGUGGAAUAAUAAUACUAAUACUACUACUAAUAAUAAUAGUUAUUUAUACCCCGCCCAUCUGGCUGGGUUUCCCCAGACACUCUGGGCGGCUUCCAACAAAACACUAAAAUGCAACAACCUAUUAAACAUUAAAAGCUUCCCUAAACAGAGAUUAAAUGAGAUUAAUUCCCUGGGGGGAAACACGCUGGCUUGUAGUCCGCAUUUCACUUGCCUAGCCAGGAAUUCUCGGUUCCAGUGACGCCUCUGCCUUUGGCAAACCCCCCUCAGCCUCCCCUGCAAUAGAGCGGCGGCAGGGGACGGGACUCAAGGCGGCUGGCAGAUAAAACUGUUGUUGUUGUUUAGUCGUUUAGUCGUGUCCGACCCUUCGUGACCCCCUGGACCAGAGCACGCCAGGCACUCCUGUCUUCCACUGCCUCCCAUAGUUUGGUCAGGCUCAUGUUUGUAGCUUCAAGAACACUGUCCCACCAUCUCGUCUUCUGCCGUCCCCUUCUCCUUGUGCCCUCCAUCUUUCCCAACAUCAGGGUCUUUUCCAGGGAGUCUUCUCUUCUCAUGAGGUGGCCAAAGUCUUGGAGCCUCAGCUUCAGGAUCUGUCCUUCCAGUGAGCACUCAGGGCUGAUUUCCUUAAGAAUGGAGAGGUUUGAUCUUCUUGCAGUCCAUGGGACUCUCAAGAGUCUCCUCCAUCACCAUAAUUCAAAAGGAUCAAUUCUUCGGCGAUCAGCCUUCUUUAUGGUCCAGCUCUCGCUGACGGGGACUCAAGGCAGCUUGAAGAUAAAAUAGGAACAGCUAAAAACAGAAGCAUCAGCAGCCCGCUCUUAAAGAGGUGCAGAAAACACUUGCAUAGGAAGGCCCAUGGUUGCUUGGAGGUGGUGGAGCUCCGAGGAGCCUGCCCAAAUAGCCGGGGUAUGUUUUGUGCUGGUCCUUCAGCCUGUGCCUUUUUAAGAACAGUUCAGGCUCCAGUAACUAGGAUACUAUGCUGAGCUCCACAUACCAUAAGCAUCUUCACCUGCAGGCUUCUGCCUACCAGGUGUCUGUUGCGAGUUGUUCUAGGCUGUUUUUAUGCUUUGGCAUCGCUGUGAGGAUGGUGUUUUUUAUCUUCUCCUGUCCAGUUGGCAGCCCUUCUCAGCCUUUAAUUCAUAUAAGAGGAUGCAGAUGCAGCUAGAUCUGAGGCGGUUCAAAGUAGAUCUUGUUAUGCAUAUAUUUUGUAUGUGUGGGGGUGUUUAUUAUAGAAAAAAAUGGAGUUGGCUUUUACAGCCCAACUCUACAUCAAAGGAUUCAGCGUCUCCUAAGACAGUUAAUUGUGAGGGGGGAAAUGAGUGGAGGCAGGAACCCGUAGAAGGAAAGCAAGGAAGAACUUUAUUUUUUCUAUCAGAAAAGAGUCCCCACCCACCCCCGCUUUGCAAGCAGGUGAGGACCCAGAAAAAAGUGUUUAAGAACUUUUAAAGGCUUUAGAAAUUGCACAACCCCAUAGUCAAAGACCACCCAAAAGCAUCACACAAGUGUCAUAGAAAGAGGUGGUCUGCAACAGAAAUAUGAGAGUGUAGCUUGUGUCCUGGGUGUCAAGAUACCUGAUACUUUUUGCUGAUUAUCUCUCCUGGCUAGCCUGGGCCAUUCCUUUGAAAUGGUAAAUACCUACUGAUACACAGAAGAUGCUCUUUUGCCAGAUCUGCUUUGCCCCUAACAAAUAUUUACCAGACCUGUUUUUAGAGGGGGUAGCCCCUCUCUAUUCACAGGAUAUGAAGGAUUUGCAAGUGUAAUAACUAUUGGGAAAGGUUUUCCAAGAUGAGCCCAAGCGGCUUUGGGAUUGCUCUGUGUACUAAAAUUAAGUGUAAUUUUCUCAGGGAAUAUCUCCUAAAUUUUGAAGGGUGAAGGAUUGGUAUUCGGUGGAGUGUGUCCGCUAUAUGUGUGCACCCUAAAAAAAUAUAUAGCAAUAUCAUACUACAGUAUAUUAUUAUUAUUAUUGUCAUGUAUGUGUAUUGUGGUUGGAAACUAGUAUAGUGCAAAACAAAUUAAAAUAAAGUUUGAGUAGGUGAUCAGGACUUUUUUUUAAUGGCUUCCAAUAUGACUGUUCCAAGAAAACCAACACAUUCUGAUGACCUUUCAGUACAGAGGUACCUCAGGUUACAUACGCUUCAGGUUACAGACUCCGCUAACCCAGAAAUAGUGCUUCAGGUUAAGAACUUUGCUUCAGGAUGAGAACAGAAAUCGUGCUCCGGCGGCGCAGCAGCAGGAGGAGGCCCCAUUAGCUAAAGUGGUGCUUCAGGUUAAGAACAGUUUCAGGUUAAGAACUGACCUCCGGAACGAAUUAAGUACUUAACCCGAGGUACCACUGUCUUUUAUUUUUUAAGUUGGCACUGAGAUUUUGAGAGUAAUGAUUGGGGUGAUUGGCGCAGAGAUUGGCAUCAAGGGGGGAUCUUGUCACACACCCCUCAGGGAUGACACCCGGAGUGGCCUGCCCCCUACACCCCUGUCUGGAUUGCUUCUGGGCCCAGUUUAAAAUGCUGGUUUUAGCCCUUGAAGCCUGAGAUGGUACUUUGAUAUAUAGGAUCCUCUCAGGAAAGCAGUCCAAGUUCAAAGCAGGCGCUUCAGCCAGCAAAACAACCUUAAGUGCCACCAGAAAGUAUGUGAGAAUGGCUUUGCAAGAAAGGUGCCAGGUGACGCCACCCAAGGAGAGAGGUCCAGAGGUUCUCUGAGGAUGAUUUUGGAGGGGAUGAAAUCCUUGUCCAGUGCAGCAGAUGGCAGCCUUAGAGCUUAGGCUCUGCUAGGCUAUGCAGAAGUACAGGCACACACUGUUUUGUACCAUAAACUGAGCUCAGUGAGAGUGUGCGGUGACUGUAGAUGAGGUUUGCCUUUGUCAUGAUGGGACUACCUGAAUCUACCCAUUAUUUGCUGGAUAGCAAAUGAUUGUUUAUCUGGGAAUCAAAGUGGAUGGUCUCCAUCGGGGAUCAUUGCCGUGCUCAUCUGACCUGCUCUGCAUGCACGGAAAACAUCUGCAAACUGUCAUUCCUCCAAAAUCCAAGCACAGCUGAAGCAAAUUUCCUCUUCAGUGCAGUUCAAGAGGUAUGUGUACAGAAAUCUUGCAAAACAGUUCAUCUCUUGGAUGUCCCUGUCCUUAUUUUUUCAGGAGGGGGUGGUUGGACCCUGUAGCUUCAUUUCAUUGCUUGUGCAAUAAUGUUAUUUGGGGAAUCAACCAGUGGAUGGUAGAACAACAAUUGUGAAUUUGCUUUUUGAAAAAUUGGUUUUUAUUAGAGAGAGUUCUCAAAUAGCAUAGUGGCGAAGAGUUUCUUAGCUAUGCGUUAAGGCUCCCCAUUCAGAUAUUGCUUCUUCCAUGUGCUUACUUAAGAAAACAAUUCUCUCCCCACAUCAGCAAUACCAGAAUAACAACACAGGUCUAUGUAUUCUAUUUUAUGAAAAUUGCAAGAAAAUGCAUGUGACAUACUUGAGAAACACUCUAUAGACAUACAGUCGUACCUCCGCGUAUGUAUCCCUCCGGUUACGUAAACUUCGGGAUACGUAAGCAGCAAACCCGGAAGUAUAUUUCCGGGUUUCUGCCACAUGUGCAGUAGCAGUAACUACUUCUGUGCAUGAACAGAAGCGCUCUUCCGCCGUGCAUGUGUGCACAGAAGCGGUCUUUCUGGUUGUGAAAACCUCGUACCUGGCCAGACCUCCAGAAUAGAUCCCAUCCGCAACCAGAGGUACCACUGUACUUGGAAAGCAUUGUUUUGCCAAAUAGGAGCAAACUCAGCGCCAGCUAGACUUUAUAUAUGCAGAAUCAGCCUAGAAUCCUAUGCACACCAAGACUUUCUUCCAAAAAAAUGCAUGGGACUUGGCUGGAACUGGCCUGAGUACAGUGCAGUCUGUUACCAAUAACCAGUGCUUUUUUUUUCUUAAAAAAAUGUUUAGGGGCACUCUCAUUUUCCUACUCAUAUUGAAAUACUGCCCCUCAAUGAGGCCAAACUUAGAUUCACAAAAUGUUUAGGGGUAUGCAUAUCCCUGCUUCCCCCCAGAAAAAAAGCACCGCCCAUAACAAAACUUGAUAUAUUGACCAUCACAUUUCUCUUAAUCCUGACAGUGGCUUUUAGACUCAUACAGUAAAUGAGAUAAUAUAUAGAUUUAGACAAAAUAACUUUAAAAAUGUACACACAUUCAAACGGAUCAUGGCGGAGUGAACAACUACAUAUAUGGUUAAAAGUGCCUGCAUUAAAAAAAUGUGUUGUCUGCAGAUUCUUCUUUCCAAAAGAAGAGGCAGUGGGCUGGGAGACUCAAGCAGGGCCAGGAUGAUAAAUCUGCAUGUCAUGCUCCUGGGACUAAGAUCGGAAGUUGCUCAAUAGGACUGCUGACUGUAUCACAUGCUGCAGGUUCCAAUGAGCCUUGUCAAUUCCCAAAGUGGUGCAAAAAAGCUUCACUUUGCUUUUAAGCUUCAGCCCUCUGAUCCGAGAUGGGCUACAGUCUAGCUCCUCUCAGGCCACUUAGCAGCCUGAGCUUUACUUUGGGAAAGCCGCCAGUUCUUCCUGCCCCACAGAACAGCCCAAAGCACAAGAUUACAGCAAGCCUUGCAGGAUCACAGCCUAGAUGUAUGGAGCAGAACAAACUCACCACAGGGAAAGCCUCAGUCACUGCAGACUGUCCCUCACCAUCAUGCCAGGGUGGACUGGGGAGAAAAGUGGCAGCUGAGGGGAAUUUACUGGCAGAGCAGCCACGUGGUCCCACUCUCCCUUCUUUCCAGGCAUCCAUUGUGCAACCAGGUCCAGAAGCCAUACCUGCCAGUUGUCGCCCACUGAAUGUUUCUCUCUCUCUCCGCCUCCCCCUUUGCUCCCCACCUGACACCCAGCCCUACACAGGCCACCAGGGAGGUCACCAUUGUUUGUCUGCCAGCGAUGCUCCCUGAUCCCUUGGGGAGUUGCCAACCUACUUGUUCAAGAAAGGGUCCUUAACCCUCUGCAAGCUUUGUGACAAGGAGUUAUGCAACAGGUAAUGGCCUCCCUUGUGUGGGGAUGAAGCUACAAGGGACAGGACAACUGGGACUAGCCCCAUGAGCCUCGCUGGGCUGAGCAGGGGCCACCUCAUGAACACCAUCUUUUACUCUCAAAACUCAAUCCAUUCUGAAUGCUCUUUAAGGAGAGAUGUAUAACUGUGCCUCAUGUUGCCAGGGUUGGCUGGGAAGGAUUCUUUCUCCACAUCCUGGGCUCCACCCUGUUUCCAG